rnacentral:rRNA from 1 species
AUUGAACGCUGGCGGAAUGCUUUCCACAUGCAAGUCGAACGGCAGCACGGGGCAACACUGGUGGCGAGUGGCGAACGGGUGAGUAAUAUAUCGGAACGUGCCCAGUCGUGGGGGAUAACGUAGCGAAAGUUACGCUAAUACCGCAUACGAUCUAUGGAUGAAAGCGGGGGAUCGCAAGACCUCGCGCGAUUGGAGCGGCCGAUAUCAGAUUAGGUAGUUGGUGGGGUAAAGGCUCACCAAGCCAACGAUCUGUAGCUGGUCUGAGAGGACGACCAGCCACACUGGAACUGAGACACGGUCCAGACUCCUACGGGAGGCAGCAGUGGGGAAUUUUGGACAAUGGACGCAAGUCUGAUCCAGCCAUUCCGCGUGCAGGAUGAAGGCCCUCGGGUUGUAAACUGCUUUUGUACGGAACGAAAAGGUCUCCAUUAAUACUGGGGGCUCAUGACGGUACCGUAAGAAUAAGCACCGGCUAACUACGUGCCAGCCGCCGCCGUAAGAC